GCCACGUGGGUCACUGUUCUAUUCCGACCCGGAAACCUUGAACUGAGUAUUUGUUGGGUUCGAGUGGCGGCUUGGGGCGCAGCGGGCCUGAACUUCCUAGAGUUUCUCAGAUUGUUAGAUAUUGAAGGUAGUGUUGAAAAAUCAUUGCAGUGAUCCUAGCGAUGGAAAACUCGAGUCGUUCCACCUGUGUCUUCUGCUCCGCAUGAGUUUUGCUGAAUUAAAAGACACUACUUUAAUUAAAAAGCAGGAUAAACCUGGGUUUGGAAAUCGGAAGGCCUUAGGCUCAAGGACUCCAGUUGAGGAAGCGUGAAUAUUUUGACUGGAGUUGAUCUUAACCCAAUGGACUUUACCUGUGCUGACCAACCCUUUCAUCACAAGCCAUAUAUGCGGUUGCUGAGCCCUGGAAAUGUAAGCAGUCUGAAGUGAGAGAUGCUGUAAGUGAACACUUCCCCAAAGAGAGUAAAAUACCUCAUUAAUAGUGAUAGUGCAUAUAUUCCAGUUACUUGCUGGCAUAAUUUUUGAUGUGUUGGGUUAAAUAAAGAAUAUUUCCUGUCACUCA